rnacentral:misc_RNA from 1 species
AACGCACAUUGCGCCCGCCAGCACUCUGGCGGGCAUGCCUGUCCGAGCGUCAUUUCCACCCUCAGGCCCAUGGUGCCUGGCGUUGGGGCGCUGCAGAGACCCCCCGGGGCCUGCAGGCCCCCAAGAGCAGCGGCGGACCCGCGGUGGCCCCGAGCGCAGUAGAAACCCUCGCUUAGGCGGACUCGGCGGGCCUUUCCGGCCGGCAAAACACCACAAAUGACAUACAGGUUGACCUCGGAUCAGGUAGGAAUACCCGCUGAACUUAA